GACGGAGGGUGCAAACGUUGUUCGGAAUUACUGGGCAUAAAGCGCACGUAGGCGGUUUGAUAAGUCAGUUGUGAAAGCCCUCGGCUCAACCGGGGAACUGCAAUUGAUACUGUCAGACUUGAGGGUGGUUGGGGUGAGUGGAACUUCUGGUGGAGCGGUGAAAUGCGUAGAUAUCAGAAGGAACACCAGUGGCGAAAGCG
rnacentral:rRNA from 1 species